CUGGCGGCGUGCUUAACACAUGCAAGUCGAACGGUGACAUCAGAGCUUGCUCUGGUUGAUCAGUGGCGAACGGGUGAGUAACACGUGAGUAACCUGCCCUUGACUCUGGGAUAACUCCGGGAAACCGGGGCUAAUACCGGAUACGAGACGCGACCGCAUGGUCGGCGUCUGGAAAGUUUUUCGGUCAAGGAUGGACUCGCGGCCUAUCAGCUUGUUGGUGAGGUAAUGGCUCACCAAGGCGUCGACGGGUAGCCGGCCUGAGAGGGCGACCGGCCACACUGGGACUGAGACACGGCCCAGACUCCUACGGGAGGCAGCAGUGGGGAAUAUUGCACAAUGGGCGAAAGCCUGAUGCAGCGACGCCGCGUGAGGGAUGAAGGCCUUCGGGUUGUAAACCUCUUUCAGUAGGGAAGAAGCGAAAGUGACGGUACCUGCAGAAGAAGCGCCGGCUAACUACGUGCCAGCAGCCGCGGUAAUACGUAGGGCGCAAGCGUUGUCCGGAAUUAUUGGGCGUAAAGAGCUCGUAGGCGGUUUGUCGCGUCUGGUGUGAAAACUCAAGGCUCAACCUUGAGCUUGCAUCGGGUACGGGCAGACUAGAGUGUGGUAGGGGUGACUGGAAUUCCUGGUGUAGCGGUGGAAUGCGCAGAUAUCAGGAGGAACACCGAUGGCGAAGGCAGGUCACUGGGCCACUACUGACGCUGAGGAGCGAAAGCAUGGGGAGCGAACAGGAUUAGAUACCCUGGUAGUCCAUGCCGUAAACGUUGGGCACUAGGUGUGGGGCUCAUUCCACGAGUUCCGCGCCGCAGCUAACGCAUUAAGUGCCCCGCCUGGGGAGUACGGCCGCAAGGCUAAAACUCAAAGGAAUUGACGGGGGCCCGCACAAGCGGCGGAGCAUGCGGAUUAAUUCGAUGCAACGCGAAGAACCUUACCAAGGCUUGACAUAC
rnacentral:rRNA from 1 species